CCAUCAUAAUACCCCACCCGGUUAGGAGGCCGACGUUCUGCAGCAGAAACAUCAGCCAGGGUCUCUUGUUGCUGAUGUGGACCAUGGUGGGGAGCUGGAGAGGAGAUGGAGGUCUGCUUUUGAUGCCGACUUGUCUUUUCGCUUCCUUUCCUGUUGAUACAUCUCUAAAACUCCCCCAUGGUCACAGUGGUGAGGCUCUGCUUCUUCCUGAAGAGACAGGAAGUGAGAAAACUGGUUAAAGACGGAGGAAAAAGGGUAAAAGGAAAGACUGCAACAGGAGGAAUGAGCAGAGGAAGAAAAGUCAUCCAACAGCUUUAAAACGGUGCUCACCAUGGGAAGCAGGUGCAUUAAGGCGUCUCCAGUCAGUGAACCUACAGC